rnacentral:rRNA from 1 species
CCUACGAGUGGCAGCAGUGGGGAAUAUUGCUCAAUGGUGGAAACCCUGAACCAGCAACGCCGCGUGGGGGAUGAAGGUUCUCGGUAUGUUAACCCCUUUUUGUAGAGAAGAAAAUGACGGUACCUGACGCAGAAGCACCGGCUAACUACGUGCCAGCCGCCGCGGUAAUACGGAGGGUGCAAGCGUUAUCCGGAUUGACUGGGCGUAAAGAGCGCGUAGGCGGGUGAGCAAGUCUGAGGUGAAAUCCUAGGGCUUAACCAUAGAACUGCAUUGGAAACUGUGAGUCUUGAGUGUGGGAGAGGUAGGUGGAAUUCGUGGUGUAGGGGUAAAAUGCGUAGAUAUCAAGAGGAAUACUCAUUGCGAAGGCGACCUGCUGGAGCAUAACUGACGCUGAGGCGCGAAAGCGUGGGGAGCAAACAGGAUUAGAUACCCCGGUAGUC